rnacentral:rRNA from 1 species
GAUGAACGCUGGCGGCGUGCCUAAUACAUGCAAGUCGAGCGAACGGACGAUAAGCUUGCUUUUCUGAUGUUAGCGGCGGACGGGUGAGUAACACGUGGAUAACCUACCUAUAAGACGGGGAUAACUUCGGGAAACCGGAGCUAAUACCGGAUAAUAUUUUGAACCGCAUGGUUCAAAAGUGAAAGACGGUCUGGCUGUCACUUAUAGAUGGAUCCGCGCUGCAUUGGCUAGUUGGUAAGGUAACGGCUUACCAAGGCAACGAUGCAUAGCCGACCUGAGAGGGUGAUCGGCCACACUGGAACUGAGACACGGUCCAGACUCCUACGGGAGGCAGCAGUAGGGAAUAUUCCGCAAUGGGCGAAAGCCUGACGGAGCAACGCCGCGUGAGUGAUGAAGGUCUUCGGAUCGUAAAACUCUGUUAUUAGGGAAGAACAUAUGUGUAAGUAACUGUGCACAUCUUGACGGUACCUAAUCAGAAAGCCACGGCUAACUACGUG